CCUACGGGUGGCAGCAGUGAGGAAUAUUGGUCAAUGGACGCAAGUCUGAACCAGCCAUGCCGCGUGCAGGAAGACGGCCCUAUGAGUUGUAAAAUGCUUUUGUACGAGGGUAAACGCAGACACGUGUACCUGUUUGAAAGUACUUUAUGAAUAAGGAUCGGCUAACUCCGUGCCAGCAGCCGCGGUAAUACGGAGGAUCCGAGCGUUAUCCGGAUUUAUUGGGUUUAAAGGGUGCGUAGGUGGUUGGAUAAGUUAGAGGUGAAAUUCUGAGGCUCAACUUCAGAAUUGCAAUUGAUACUGGUCGGCUAGAGAAUAGUUGCGGUAGGCGGAAUGUGUGGUGUAGCGGUGAAAUGCUUAGAGAUCAUACAGAACACCGAUUGCGAAGGCAGCUUACCAAGCUACGUCUGACAUUGAGGCACGAAAGCGUGGGGAGCAAACAGGAUUAGAUACCCCGGUAGUC
rnacentral:rRNA from 1 species